GACGAACGCUGGCGGCGUGCUUAACACAUGCAAGUCGAACGGAAAGGCCCUUCGGGGUACUCGAGUGGCGAACGGGUGAGUAACACGUGGGUGAUCUGCCCUGCACUUUGGGAUAAGCCUGGGAAACUGGGUCUAAUACCGAAUAGGACCACGCUCUUCAUGGGGUGUGGUGGAAAGCUUUUGCGGUGUGGGAUGGGCCCGCGACCUAUCAGCUUGUUGGUGGGGUAAUGGCCUACCAAGGCGACGACGGGUAGCCGGCCUGAGAGGGUGACCGGCCACACUGGGACUGAGAUACGGCCCAGACUCCUACGGGAGGCAGCAGUGGGGAAUAUUGCACAAUGGGCGCAAGCCUGAUGCAGCGACGCCGCGUGAGGGAUGACGGCCUUCGGGUUGUAAACCUCUUUCAGUACCGACGAAGCGCAAGUGACGGUAGGUACAGAAGAAGGACCGGCCAACUACGUGCCAGCAGCCGCAGUAACAC
rnacentral:rRNA from 1 species